AACCGGGAUGAGCUCAAAUUUAAAAUCUGGCGUCUUUCAGGCGUCCGAGUUGUAAUCUAUAGAGGCGUUUUCCGCGCCGGACCGCGUCCAAGUCUCUUGGAAUAGAGUAUCAAAGAGGGUGACAAUCCCGUACUUGACGCGACAACCGGUGCUCUGUGAUACGUUCUCAAUGAGUCGAGUUGUUUGGGAAUGCAGCUCUAAAUGGGUGGUAAAUUCCAUCUAAGGCUAAAUAUUGGCGAGAGACCGAUAGCGAACAAGUACCGUGAGGGAAAGAUGAAAAGCACUUUGGAAAGAGAGUUAAACAGCACGUGAAAUUGUUAAAAGGGAAACGAUUGAAGUCAGUCGUGUGAAAGGUAUUCAGCCGUCUCUGGCGGUGUAUUUGCCUUUCACGGGUCAACAUCAGUUUGAUCCGGUAGAAAAAGGCGGGAGGAAGGUGGCACCCUCGGGUGUGUUAUAGCCUCCUGUCAUAUGUGCCGGACCAGACUGAGGAACGCAGCUUGCCGCAAGGCCGGGGUUCGCCCACGUACAAGCUUAGGAUGUUGACAUAAUGGCUUUAAACGACCCGUC
rnacentral:rRNA from 1 species